GCCAGCAGCCAUAUCCCCCUGCAGCUCACAACUGGCAAUCCACUGAAGCUAAGCAGGUGUGAGCCUGGUCAAUUAGCCGGAUGGGAGACCUUCUGGGAAAAACUAAGGUUGCUGCUGGAA
rnacentral:rRNA from 1 species